rnacentral:rRNA from 1 species
AACGUAGGACACGAGCGUUAUCCGGAUUUACUGGGCGUAAAGGGCGUUCAGGCGGGCGAUUAAGUUCGCUAUGAAAGCGCCGGGCUAAACCCGGCGAGGCUGGCGGAUACUGAUCAUCUGGAGUGAGUCAGAGGAAGGUAGAAUUCCGUGUGUAGUGGUGAAAUGCGUAGAGAUGCGGAGGAAUACCAGUGGCGAAGGCGGCCUUCUGGGGCUCAACUGACGCUGAAGCGCGAAAGCAUGGGGAGCGAACGGG